ensembl:misc_RNA Metazoa_SRP Metazoan signal recognition particle RNA
ACUGGGCCUGGUGGUGUGUGCCUGUAAUCCCAGCUACUCGGGAGGUUGAGGCAGAAGAAUCACUUGAACCCAGGAGGCAGAGGUUGUAGUGAGCUGAGAUCCCGCCACUGAACUCCAGCCUGGGCAACAGAGUGAGAUUCUGUCUCAA